rnacentral:tRNA from 1 species
GUUACUAGGGUGUGAUUUAGCAUAUUAGGUUUUCGUCCUAGUGGUGUAGAGUGGUUCUACUUGUAAUU